GAUGAACGCUGGCGGCGUGCCUAAUACAUGCAAGUCGAGCGAACAGACGAGGAGCUUGCUCCUCUGACGUUAGCGGCGGACGGGUGAGUAACACGUGGAUAACCUACCUAUAAGACUGGGAUAACUUCGGGAAACCGGAGCUAAUACCGGAUAACAUGUUGAACCGCAUGGUUCAACAGUGAAAGACGGUCUUGCUGUCACUUAUAGAUGGAUCCGCGCCGCAUUAGCUAGUUGGUAAGGUAACGGCUUACCAAGGCAACGAUGCGUAGCCGACCUGAGAGGGUGAUCGGCCACACUGGAACUGAGACACGGUCCAGACUCCUACGGGAGGCAGCAGUAGGGAAUCUUCCGCAAUGGGCGAAAGCCUGACGGAGCAACGCCGCGUGAGUGAAGAAGGUCUUCGGAUCGUAAAGCUCUGUUAUUAGGGAAGAACAAAUGUGUAAGUAACUAUGCACGUCUUGACGGUACCUAAACAGAAAGCCACGGCUAACUACGUG
rnacentral:rRNA from 1 species